CUUCAAACCACCCCAAUUUCCACACCCGCGCGCUCAGAUCUGCAAAAUGUAGCCUAGGGGUUGGCACAGGUGGAGGAGCGUCGAGCUGGGCGUCCGCUCAGGGUCGAUUCCUUUUGCCAGUUUCUUUCAGUGCCGGUGCAAAACGCCUGAGGUUCUUGGCCUGGGUUGCGGUGCGAAGAGGACCGGAAGGAGUUUCGCUGGCCUGGAAGACCUCCACGGGCAUUUGGGGAGUGUUCCGAGGCCUCUCCGCCGCCUUCCCCUGCACCCCGGGCGUCCCGCGGCGGCAGGCUCCCGCCCCACAGCCCUCCCGGCCGUCCGAAACCCCACGCUGGACACCUUGCCAGGUGCCGCAGCCUCUGGGUGCCCGCCGCUAGUGCAGGAGGCCGCCCCGCCCACAGAGAGCGCGGAGAGGCCACCUGGGCUAGAGGGCGUGGCGGGGGCGGGGGCGGGGCCGCAGGGCCCCGGGAGCCCCGGGAGCCUCGGGCCGAGGGCGCCACGGGUGCGGGUGCAGCGGGCAGGAGAGAGCUGAGGUGCCGGCGACGUGGAGUCGAGUGUGGAGGUGCAGGGGCCCAAGGACUUGGACCAUCUUCCACUGCUUUCCCAGGCCACAGCAGAGAGCGGGAUUGGAAGUGGAGCAGCCGGGACUUGAACCACUGCCCAUACAGGAUGUCGGCACUGCAGGCGACAGCUUUAUCUGCUACACCACAGCGCUGGGCCCCAGAAAAUUCCACGGAAAGAGCUCGCUAAGGCUCGUGUGGCAGUCCCAGGCACCAUCCAGGCAAGUGGCAAGGGGUCCUGAAACUUGGGGGUCUGAUGCCGCAGGCGAAAAUCGCGUUUCUCCCCCUGGCUCGGGCCACUCCCCUGCACAGGCCCCUGCUUCCCUGCCUCCUCCCCAGGAAGGUGGCCUCGUGGAGCUGUGAUCAGAACCCAUGACAUCUGUCGCAUCGGGCCGGCUGCUCUCCAGGAAGCAGGUGCUUUGGCGGGGUGGAGACUGGGACGUGUUUCUGCUGCGCUGAUCUGGGUUUGCUGGCCAAGUAGCCUCCAGGGCCUAACACGUGGGGCCACCUUCAUGGUUUUUCCCAAUGACUUUGACCAUUCAUCGACUCCCCUGCUUUCCCCAGACGCAGCUGUGCCACACAGCCAGAGCCUUCCGGGCCUGCAGGUCAUGCCAAGCCUGGAGGCAUUUGCACCAAGAAGUCACUAGUGGUUUCUGAGCUCUGGCCUGUGUGAAAACAAGAGAACCUUCUUGGAGAGGGAACUCGGAACCCCUGGUGGUGCUUCUAAGAAAGACAUCAGGCAUUGGUGCCAAACAGAGAAGAGAAGCUGAUGUGGGGGAGACCCUGGCUGGUGAAGGCAGCUUCCCCAGCCCAGCUCAGGCUGCAGCACCCAAAAUGAGCCUUGGGGCAGGAGCUCCCUUACUGGCAGCGUCUCCAGAAACAGCUUGGAAGUCAACUCUGGGCUUGGAAUCAGAAGACCGAGUUGCGGUCCAGUUAACCCCUGGGAGCUGCAGGUUUGGUUUGUGGUGGUUUGUCCUAGGAGUGAAAGGUCGGUGGGAGCAGCAGAGUUCUUGGCACAGAACGACUGCACCUUAGUGUGUGGUGGUGCAGAGACGGGGAGGUGGCUACCUAGGUCCCCCUGGCUUCCGCGUCACUGCCUCCCAUUCCCCAGGUCUUUGUUGCUGGGGUAAAUCCGACUUUUGGGGGGUGUAGGCGAUGCCUCUAAAAAAGAUGCCUCUGAAAAAGAAACCAAUAAGCAAGUGUUUUUCUUUUCUUUCUUUUUUUAAAAGAUUUAUUUAUUUACUUGAAAGCCAGAGUUACAUGGAGAGAAGGAGAGGCAGGGAGAGGCAGGGAAAGACAGAGAGAGAGGUCUUCCAGCUGCUGGUUCACUCCCCAAUUGACCGCAACGGCCGGAGCUCUGCUGAUCCGAAGCCUGGAGCCAGGGGCUUCUUCUGAGUCUCCCACAUGGGUGCAGGGGUCCAAGGACUUGGGCUGUCUUUUACUGCUUUCCCAGGCCAUAGCAGAGAGCUGGAUUGGAAGAGGAGCAGCCAGGACACAAACCAGUGCCCAUAUGGGAUGCUGGCACUGCAGGCGGAGGAUUAAUCUACUGCGCCACAGUGCCGGCCCCUAGCCACGCCUCUUAACCCAGACAUAGCAGGCUGCAGUGUAGCCCCUUGAUAAGUCUGUGUCUCAGAUGAAUUUAAUCUAUUUACACAUUCACACCCUGAGGAAUCUGAGAAUUGAGGGGCAGAAACAGGAAAAAGAGCAGACCACCAGAUGGCAGUAGCGCUCAGCAAACCUAUGGGGAGGGGGAGGAUGCUUGGACAGGUUGCGUGGAAGAGCAGGAGACCCUCCCGAGAGGGCCCAGGGCCACGGGCCAGAAGGGAAAAACGACGAGGCAACUUCACUCCACAGCCUGGUGGGGAGUCUGUGGGCCAGAGAGCUCCCAAGGGCACAGGCCAUUUAGGGUCUUCUGUAGCCCCUGGUUGUCCAUCAUGGAAGGCGCUGGGAACAGCUUUAUGGAUUAGGCAAAGCAGGCGGGCACCGAGCAGACAAAACAAAGGCGGUGGGGGGCGGGGGAGGGGCUGUGUUUAAGGAAUUGGCUGUGUUAACCAUGUGGGCUGCUGCUAGCAGGUUCCAGUUAGUGGCCCUGAGCUGUGGCGCAGAAGUAAACAAUAUGCCCGGGAAUGCAGCACGUCCCUGGAGAACACAGCAGUGGCCUGCAGGACUUCUUUGCCUGGCCUCCUUCUACGGUGCCCCCAUCUCUGCUAUCAUCAUGGCCGGUGUGGAUGAACCCUAGCACCUGCCCAGUGAGCUCCGCUUUCUACAGCCCAAGCUCACCCAAAUCCCUAGUUCAUGAAAGUAAGCGGAGUUCCUGUAGCAGUGACAGGACAGGCAGCAGGGGCAGCAGGUGCUCGCCCAGAACCCUGGGAACAGCACCUCCUGGGUGCCAUCGGGGCAACAUCUCCACAAUGAGCUGCAGGUAGAAAUCCACCUGACGCCACAGGGCGUCAAAAGUGGAUGAGCCACUUCCCCAGCCCACACGGGAGUUCUCAGUUGGCAGGUUUGUCAUCUCAAUGAUACCUGACGACGAUGUACCUGGACAGUGGGACAUCUUGUUCAGUAAAUUUCCAAGUUGGUUAUAAAAGUGAAAGUGAAAGUAAGCUGUCUGGGCCGGCGCUGUGGCGCAGUGGGUUAACGCCCUGGCCUCAAGUGCUGGCAUCCUAAUAUGGGUGCCAGUUCUAGUCCUGGCUGCUCCUCUUCCGAUCCAGCUGUCUGCUGUGGCCUGGGAAAGCAGUAAAGGAUGGCCCAAGUCCUUGGGCCCCUGCACCCGCGUGGGAGACCUGGAGGAAGCUCCUGGCUCCUGGCCUCAGAUCAGCACAGCUCCAGCCACAACGGCCGAUUGGGACCAGCGGAUGGAAGAUUCUCUCUCUCUGUAACUCUGACUUUCAAAUAAAUAAAUAAGUAAAUCUUAAAAAAAAAAAAAAAAAAGUAAGCUGUCAUUGACUCAAGAUGCUUUUUCAUUGGAGGGAAUCAAUACGAACACUGCCAUUUCAACAGCGACAUUUGUACCAGGAUCCUGCGUGUUCAAUGUGACAAAUGUGAGGCCGGGAGUUGUGGUGCAGCAGGUGAAGGAAGUGUGCGUAGGCCUUCACUCCAUCGCAGGGUGCCUGGUUUGAGUCCUGGCUCCUCCCCUUCUGACGCAGCUUCCUGUGCCUGGGAGGUAGUGGAUGGCAGCUCAAGUAGCUGGCUUCCUGCUACCCACCCGGGCCAUCCACGGAGUUCCUGGCUCCCGGCUUCAGCCUGGCCCAGCCCUGGCUGUUGUGGGCACCCAGGGGAGGGAACCAGCCAAUGAGAGCUCGCGCUCUCUCUCUUCUCCCUCUCUUUGUCACUCUGUCCUUCAGAAAAAUAAAUAAAACUUUUUUUUUAAAGGAAUGUGUUUCCGAAUUGUUGAGCUGCAGGAGUGAAAACCACCCCCAUGUGUGAACUCUUUGAUCUCCUUGGCGCUCAGCUCCUCGCCCAGCCCCAUCCACGCUGCCACCCCCUCUUGUCACACUGAGGGUCUCAGAGGCCCCACGUCCUGAAGCUUUGGUCCAGUCCCUUCCUCAUGCAGGACUCAGCCUGAGUCCCUUAGGGCAGCGUUUUCAAAGGCUCAGCAGGUCUUUCAGACUUAAGGAGACAGAAACACCCAGUUUUCUUUCCUCUUUAUUUUUAAAUAUUUGAUUUUAUUUAUUUGAAAGGCAAAGUUAUAGAGAGAGGGGGAGAGACAGAGAAAGAUCUUCCAUCUGCUGGUUCACUCUCUAAAUGGCUGCAAGAGCAGGGGCUGGGCCAGACCAAAGCCAGGAGCCGGGAGCUUCCUCCGGGUCUCCCCAUGGGUGCAGGGGCUCAAGCACUUGGGCCAUCCUCCACUGCUUUCCCAGGCAUGUUAGCGGGGAGUUGGAUCAGAAGUGGAGCAGCUGGGACUGAAACCAGCACCCAUAUGAGAUGCCAGCACCCACAUAGGAAGCAGCUUUAUCUGCGAUGCCCCAGUGUCAGCCCUCUGGUUUUCUUUUCUUUUUUUUGACAGGCAGAGUUAGACAAUGAGAGAGAGAGACAGAGAGAAAGGUCUUCCUUUGCCGUUGGUUCACCCUCCAAUGGCCGCCGCGGCUGGCACACCGCACUGAUCCGAUGGCAGGAGCCAGGUGCUUUUCCUGGUUUCCCAUGGGGUGCAGGGCCCAAGUACUUGGGCCAUCCUCCACUGCACUCCCUGGCCAUAGCAGAGAGCUGGCCUGGAAGAGGGGCAACUGGGACAGAAUCCGGCGCCCCGACCGGGACUAGAACCCGGUGUGCUGGCGCUGCAAGGUGGAAGAUUAGCCUAGUGAGCCGCGGCGCUGGCCUUGGUUUUCUUAAAAAUACAACACACCUAGGAUGUUGACUGUUCCCCGUGUGCCAGGACUGCAGGCAGCAGCCAAUUUAGGAUUUGAGCUAAGACUGAGAGAGCUGAUCCCAGCCUGGGCAGGUGGGGGGGUGGGGGUGGGAGCAUUGCCUCUUGACCAAGACAGGAAGUGGGGCACAAUUGCCCUCCUCUCCUGCCAAGACCCUCCAACGCACUCCAAUAUGGGGCCCCCUGGCUCCUCCCUCCAGAAAUGUCCCUCCCCCCCACUGGGUGGUUCUCAGCCCUGGGCCCACAUCAGAAUCCCCUGGAGAGCUUUUCAAAAUGAUCAACACCCAGACACCUUAAAUCUGGGACCCCAGAGGCAGCACCUGGACGCUGUGUAAAGGUGGCCCCGAGUGGAUCUCCUGUGCAUCGCAGUUAAGGAGGACCUCUCUAAACCAGACGGCCCAACCUUGGCUGCAGGCUCGGACGAGGGAGGAGCUUCGGGAGGCUCCCGUGGCCUGGAUCAGGCUGCAGACCAGCAGCUCCGUGCUCUCCGGGCCGGCUCCAUGUCAGUGUGUUGUGUGUGUGUGUGUGUGUGUUUUGGCUGCCUGGAUUUUGCAUAGGUGCUCUGAGCACUUCUCCCGCCUUCUUAUCACUCUUCCACACAGCGGUGGUUGGCACCAUUCCCAUCACAAAUGCGUCCGGGACACCCUCUGGCCCAGAGUUUGCACGUGGGAGCUGCCUGUCUCUAGGAUAAAAUUCAGAAUGAAGUGCAGAACCCGUACCUUGGCUCCUGGAGCCGUUCCUGAGCAGGCCGUGCCUGGGCCACCUCCUGGAGGUGGAGCUACUCCCCGGAGCUCCGGGCUGGGAGGGGAGCUGGGGGGAGGCCUCCGGAGGUGAAGGAGGCAGAGCAGUCCUUGGACCCAGGACCACGGGAGAGGUGCAGCUUCGCUGUGACGAUUGUCACGCGAGAGACUCACUGCCCUGCAGGGUUGAGCCUCACACCCAUCUGCAGGGGCCCUGCCCUUGUGCGCCCCCCUUCGUCUGUGCCCCGCUUCCCGCCAAGGUCUGCACAGCACCCACUUUGCACCUGCGUGCUGCCAGGGGCUGGGUCCCAGGAGUGGGAAGAGCAGGGUUCACGGUGACGGCCAAGAUCACCUCCAAGCUAAGAGUUUAGACGUCCUAAGAACGUCUAAGAACAAAGAGAUGUCUGGGAAGGGUUUUCAGCCGGAAGGGCCGAGACCCAAGUAUCGUGUGGAAGCAAUAAGCCCGUGGCAGCAAGGGGGUAGCUGUAGAGAGGCUGCCUCGGAACUGAGGCUUUUCAUUCAUAAUCCUGAUUUUUUGGGGAGAAUUCCUACAGAAAGGGAUGAGCGCAGAGAGAAUGAGCCGUGACAGAGGGAGCAUGGCUACGGGCAGGCGGCAGCUCUGGGGUCAGGAAGAGAGGCACUGACACAGGGCAAGCCAGCAGCCAGGAGGGAGCUGCAGCAGGCUGGGGGGACCUGACACCAGCCGCUGUGGGCUUCAGUUUCCCCAUCCAGAAAAGCAGGGCAGUGUGAGUGCUGGAGUCAAUGGUCUGUGCGCACUCAGCGAGAUGCCCCUGUGGGCGUGACUGUCGCCGGGUGCUCAUCACACGCCAACUCUUGCCAGCAUUUCAAGCAAAAGGGCAGCAGCUGGGGUGAGGAUGAAGUGUGCGGGUGGCACCCUGCGGAGCAAAGGGGUGUGGGGCCGAGGGGUGUGUGGCAGGACGGACUCAGAGACCCCCACCCCCACUCCAACACCCUGGCCACGUUUCUGGACAAGGCCACAAGGAUACUUCUGAACUUGGAAGAAGGAGAAGCCAAACGCCAAACGAGCAAACUGCUAGCCUUGGCAGAGCUGCCUGGACCCGGCUGCAGGGCAGAGCGCGCAGAGGGCUCGGCAUCCAGGCUCUCACCCACACCCUGCUGGGACACAGUGCACUCACUCGUGCUGAGCGGAUGCCCUGUUUUACUUGAUUUUAGGAAAGUGUGUGUGUGUAGAGAAAGUCAUCUUGUUUGAAGUUUCAGCUGGGAAAAUGAAGCCAUACACAUUCGUCAUGGAAAGAAAUGUUCACUUCUCCUAACUGUGUGAAGCGGGGUGGCCAGACAGGGGAUGUGUUAGGUGUGUUACGUGUUACGUGUGUGUGCCAGGCACACCACAGGGAGCACUGGGGGGGGGGGGACUUUCUCCCACCGGCUCCCUCCUCGUUAAUUGCACUUAACUUUCAUGGAAACAUUUUUUCCAUGAAGUGUUCCAUGAUCUGAGUCAGACUUGGAGUGACUCUUUUGGGGGAAAAAAAUGAGCUGAAAAUUGCUUCAACUGUUUUUGACGGAGGAGAUGUUGAACACACACACACACACACACACACACACUUCUUCUUUAAAAGAGAAGGAAGAAAAAACACUUGACCUAUUUUUACACUCACGUAAGUCACUAACAGGGGAGCUGUAAACUCCAAACUUGGCCAGGCUGGGGCUGACAUCUUUGAACAGGCAAACCCAGCUGGCCCCAAAGAAAAAGGCGGCAGACAUCACAAAAGUUGAAACCCCUGCAUCUGCGCCCUUGGAGGGAAAGAGUUCCUCCCCGGAAUCUCAGCGAACCUCAUUAUAGCAGCCCCACGAAAAAGCUCCAGCGCUCUUGCCAACUGCCAGCUUUUUUCAUUAAAAGCAAGCCUGGAAAAAAAAAAAAAAAAAAAAAAAGAAGAAGAAGAAAAUGCAAAGCCGCAUUCGUCGCCCAGCAGCACCACGGGAAAUGGCGAACUCCUAAGCCGCCCCUGCACGCACCGGAGCCGGCGCGGGGGACAAUCGCCAGAGGCUCCCAGGCCUGCUGGAGGCAUUUUAAGUCUUCAUUUCCAGGCACAAACAGUCGAUGCUGGCCGCUGGGAGGCUGAGGGUUGCGCUCAUCGGAGGGCCUGUUUGGCUUAGCCAUUAGGAUGCCUGCAUCCCACACUGAAGGACUUGCACUUGAGUCCUGGCUCUGGUUCCAGUUCCAGCUUCCUGGCAGUACAGACCCUAACGGGCAGGUGAUGGCUCAGGUGCCUGGGUCCCUGCCACCCACUUGGGAGACCUGGAUGGAGUUCUGCAGCCCCUGGCUGAUGCUGGUGUUUGGGGAGUGAACAAGCAGAUGAGAAAUCUCCCCUACUCCCCAUCUCUGUCGCUCUCUCAUUAAAAAAAAAAAAAAGGCAGCAGAUUUGAGUUCCAAAAAUAUACCUAAAAUAUCAAACACAGCGCAGAUCUCCCAUGAAAAAAAUGGCCCAAAUAUACCCCAGGGCAAAUUGCAAUGACAACAACCUCAUAAGAAAGAAGGCAGAUUGACCCGGUGUUUCUGUAAGGGUGGUGCUGGUCUUACCCCACCUGGGGUGUUACGAGGGUUUCCCUCUGUGCGCAGGGAUUGGGGUGAGCUACACCCUGGGAAGAACAGGGACCAGGAAGUCAGGGGGCCCAAGUUCCAAGCCCAGCUCUGACAAUUGCUCUAGAGCCGUGACCUCUACGUGUCUCUGUUUCUUCCGUGGGGCCACGCUGAGGCCUAGGACAAAGCACGUGUUCAACGGAAGGGAAAUGAUAGCAGAGGCACUGGGCUGCACAUUCCGCCUCUGCCAUCUAUGUCUCGUGCAUCAGGAAGCCCCAACUUCUCGAACCUCAAUUCUCUCAUCUGCAAAAUGGGAGCGCUGGUGGUGCUGCAGAAUCAGACACCCUGGACACUGACAAAACUCUCGCCUUUGACCGGGACGUCCUCGGUCCUUCUGGUCUCAGCUUACCUGGCCUGCCCUGCGCCUCCUUUUUCUGAUCUUACAGAGUCCCGUGUGAGCAAGAAUCCUGCUGAGUCAGCUUAGCACAAGCAUCCCCUGCCCCCCCCCCCCGGGCAUCUGACCACCCCCCAUGCCCUCUCACCGUGGCCAGCCUUCUGCCAGAAUUCUGUUGAGCUCGUCUAGCAAAGUCCCCCCGUGUCCUGGGGUCUGCUCUCAGUCAUUUCCCAUCCGCUGGCUCCCAGCCUGCUCCGCGGCUAGAAACCCCACUUGGCCCUGCUGGAGUGGGCUGAGCUGCGCCCCACUCCCCACGCCCCAGGGCCGCGAGACCCCGUGGCAGUGCAGCCACUCUUGAAGCUUUCUCCCAAAAAGUCUGCCUUGCCGGUUUUUCCAAGGAUCGUGCCCAAGUUUCUUCUUUAACAACACCCCAGGGCCCCAUGGCCCUCGGAGGCCAGAGCUGGCAGCAGCACCCAAUCCCCAGUGUGGCAGGAGCCAGCAGCCGUCUCCAGUGGCCCUUGCCAAUAGACUUAAUUUCCUGGAAUGGCCCCCAGGAGGGUCCCUCCCCACUGCGGCCCCCACUGCCCCUCCCUGCGUUUAUAGCAGCCCUGGUGCAGCUGUCCACCCCGGCCCUCUGCUCCGCUGUGGCCCAGCUCCAGCCUUCCGCCAGGUGGACGGCUUGUCCCCCCAGCGUGGCCCUGACUCAGAAGUGUGUGUCGUCAUUCUGUCUAGGGAUCGUGAACCUGUUGUUCCCUAAACCGUUACAACCCAUCUCCAACACGCUGUUCCUGAAAGCAAGCUCGUCGGCUCAGAGCAGAAUUUAUGACGUGGGAAGAGACUCGCAGAGACAACCAGGCAAAUUCCAUUUCUUUGGCGUCUAAAGCACACAGGCGCUCAGAGCAGCCUGCUUCACAUCUGACUGCAGGGCCGAACACCUCAGCCUUCACUGUCCUGACACCAAGGGAAGCAACAGCGAGCCUUGCUAAACAUGGGCCCUUCUAGUGACUUCCAAACCCCAGGACCAACACUUUUGAGGAGGGAGAAGCUUGAAGGGACCUUAGAGUGAACUUCUCCAAAACCAAGAAAUACAGCAUGUGGGUCCCCCUUGCCGUCUACCUUCUAGCCGCUUGGUAGGGAUGCGGGUGCCUGGGCGCUGUGUGCGCCUGCCACCGUGCCGUGUUGGUGUGAAGUCCCAUCUAGGGAUAAGCAAGGUGGUCCUUGCUAAAGGGCUCCCAGGGGGUGGAAGGAACAUUUUCCUCCUGCCCCAAACAGCAAAACCCACCCUCCACGCCUUUGUCGCCCACAGCUCUGAUCUUUCUCCCAGAGUCGUGUCCCUACAGGGCUGCCUCCUCCAUCGCCCACACCCCUGAAACCUCUGCUCGCUGUCCUUCAGGCCUCGUCCAGUCAAAGUCCCAUCUCUGUCAGGGUCCAGACUCCAUUUAGCGGAAGGAAAAGCACAGUGGCUGCUGGGACUAGAACCACGCAUCCUCAUGGGUAGAGCUAGACCCGUCCUCCAAAUUCUCAGGUUGAGGCCUGAGCCCAACACCUUCCUGCCUCCCCGCGCCGCACCUCAAAAUGCAACCUUAUUUGGAAACAGCCUUUUUUUUUUUAAAGUUUAUAAACAACAGAACUUUA